CACGUAGGGCGCAAGCGUUGUCCGGAAUUAUUGGGCGUAAAGAGCUCGUAGGCGGUCUGACAAGUCUGAUGUGAAAUCUAUGGGCUCAACUCAUAGUCUGCAUCGGAAACUGCCGGGCUUGAGUGUGGGAGAGGUGAGUGGAAUUCCUGGUGUAGCGGUGAAAUGCGUAGAUAUCGGGAGGAACACCUGUGGCGAAAGCGGCGCACUGGACCAUAACUGACGCUGAGGCGCGAAAGCUAGGGGAGCAAACAGG
rnacentral:rRNA from 1 species